CCUACAGGCGGCAGCAGUGGGGAAUAUUGGACAAUGGGGGGAACCCUGAUCCAGCCAUGCCGCGUGUGUGAAGAAGGCCCUCGGGUUGUAAAGCACUUUCAGUGAGGAAGAACGCCUGGUGGUUAAUACCCAUCAGGAAAGACAUCACUCACAGAAGAAGCACCGGCUAACUCCGUGCCAGCAGCCGCGGUAAUACGGAGGGUGCGAGCGUUAAUCGGAAUUACUGGGCGUAAAGCGCGCGUAGGUGGCUUGAUAAGCCGGUUGUGAAAGCCCCGGGCUCAACCUGGGAACGGCAUCCGGAACUGUCAAGCUAGAGUGCAGGAGAGGAAGGUAGAAUUCCCGGUGUAGCGGUGAAAUGCGUAGAGAUCGGGAGGAAUACCAGUGGCGAAGGCGGCCUUCUGGACUGACACUGACACUGAGGUGCGAAAGCGUGGGUAGCAAACAGGAUUAGAUACCCGUGUAGUC
rnacentral:rRNA from 1 species